GUUUAUUAACUCUUAACUGAUGAUAUUAAUGAAAGUAACAUAAUUUUCCAUAUUAAUUUAGUGAUUAAUUGUGACAUAAAAAUGCCAACUAUGCGAUAAUUGACAUUCAUUCAUUCAUGUCUUGUUGCAACAUGCAACUUCUAUUAACCUUCAGGUGAUGGAGUGUUACCCUGAAGUUCUCCUAUAAAAGUCUGAUAAAAUUUUGAAUUCAUUGUUAGAGAGAGAACUAGUUUUCCCUCAAAGAUUGCAAGCGGUCCAGGCCCUGCGGCAGCAAAGCAGCUCCAAAUUAUGACGAUCCCUCCACCAUGUUCUCUGAAAUUUGUAUUGAAAGGAGCAUCAUUACCAUGAACAAAUAUUUUUUAAGAAGAGUAGUCUCUGCUUCUAAUCAGACUAUGUGUGUCUUUUUAAAGCAUAUUGCCUAACUCCAGUUAGCCCGGAGAUAUAGCCCAGCACAUACUUCGUUUUUAUUUGUAAAACAGUAUAUUCAGUAUUGACAAGGGCAACUACAAUGGAUAUUAAGAAAAGUCUACACACCCCUGUUAAAAUGGCAGGUUUCUGUGAUGAAAAAAAGAAAGAAAAGAAACUAAUAUAAAUCAAAACCAUUUCUACCCUCAAUGUGAAAUUACAACGUGAAAAACAACAAGUGAAAAACAAACAAUUUAGGAAAAAAUAGGAACAUUUUUAAAAAGUUAAUCUGGUUGCAUAAGUGUGUACACCCUUUUAUAAUUGUGGAUGUCGCUUUAUUCAAAACGAACAAAUCAAAUUCAAUCUCAUGCACAAGAGUAAUUAUCAUACAGCUGUCAUCAAGUAAAUGAUUCUGAUUAACCCCAAAUAAAGACCAGCUGUUUCUGUAGGAUUUUCCUCACAUUUUCUCAUUUCAUUUGACUGCUGAAGCCACGGUCCACAAAGAGCUUGCAAAGCAUGCAUUGUAUCUCACUCACUGAAAGGUAAUGAUCAGUAAAGGGGUAUAAAAAUGUCCAAAACAUUAGAUGUAAAGGAGCACUGUAAGGCCAUCAUCAACAAAUAGAGAAAAUGGUCCACCACAGUGACAUCACCAAGAACAGGAUUUCCCUCCAAAAUGUAUAUAAGGACUAGACAAAAACUUACCAGGGAGGCUAUCAGGAGACAUAUAGUAACAUUAGGAAUAUCUGACAAGUACUGAUUACUCUGCAUAUGACAACAAUCUCUUGUAUUCUUCACAUGUCUGGGCUAUGGGGGCGGGUGGCUAGAUGGAAGUCCUUUUCACAAAAAAAUCCAAGCUCAAUUAAAUUACUACUAAACCAUGUGGCAAAAUGUAUUAUGGUCUGAUAAGAUCAAUUCCAAAAGGUAUAAUAAUUCCAUAAUUUCAAAAGAUUUGUGCAAAAAAAGUACAACACCAAAAUACCCACAGUGAAGCAUGGUGGUGGCAGCAUCAUGCUCUAGGGCUGCUUUUCUUUAGCCAGAAUGUCAUGAUCUUGCCAGCAGAUGGCACUGCGGCAUCGACGGGCACGGGUGGCGGCAGAGAGCACGCGUGCAGGAAAUUGAACUGUUUCCUAUGGACACGUACCUUUGUUUUGGUUUUUGUUCUCUUCCUGUUUAAGCAUUGGUUGAUGUUCGAGGGUGUGUCGUUAUUGAUCCCAGCUGUCUGUGUUCUAGCUUGAUUAUAUUUGGUAUUUAAAGCCCUCGUGUUGCUUUGUACUUCGCGCAGUAUUACUUGAAUAACUGAAUGAAUGUUUAGGUGAAUACAUUUAAGUACGCAAAGCAGUCGUGUCUUCGUGUCCUGCUCUCGUUCCAUGCCUCGACUUUAGUCUUAUGUUUAACCUCGAUUAUCUUGUCCAGUACAGACCGCAUUUUACGUGUUUUGAUUUCUGUUUAAGAAUAAAGACGUUAAUCUGCACUUUCUUCUGCUUCCAGUCCUGUUCCGUAACACAGAAUUUGGGCUUUUAUCAAGGUGGAGGGAUUCAUGAAUAGCUACAAAUACAAUCUGAUUUUAGUGAAAAUCUUCAAGUGUCUGCUAGUAUGCUGAAGAUGAAAAGGAAUUUCACCUUUCAGAAUGACAGUGACCUAAAGCAUACAUCCAAAACAACAAUGGAAUGGCUUAACCAAAAGACGAUCAAUAUUUCUGUAUGGCCUAGCCAGAGCCCAGACCCGAAUCCAACUAAAAGUCUGUGGGGUGACCUGAAGCAGCCGUGCACAGGAAAUGUCUUCACAAUUUGAUGGCUCUAGAAUGUUUUUGCAAGAAAGGGUGAGAAAAUAUUGCAAAUCAAGAUGUGCCAUGCUGAUAGAUUUUUACCCAAAAAGACUGAAUGAUGUAAUAAAAUCUAAAGGUGCUUCAACAAAGUAUUAGUUUAGGGGUGUACACACUUAUGUAUGCAACUUGGUUAUUGCAAGUUUUUUAUUUUUCAUAUUUUGUCUAAAAUGUUUCUGAUAGUUUUUUACUUAAUUUUUACAUUUUUACAUUUCACAUUGAGGGUGUAAGAAGUUCUGACAUGAUUUAUCUUGGUUUAAUUUUUUACAUCACAAAAACCUACCAUUUUAACAUACUUUUUUAUAUCCAUUGUAUUAUAUAGAUGAGUUAUCAAUUUCAGCAGAAUGACUUUAUCUAUUAUUAAGAUGUGGAUGAAGAUCAGACCACAUGUUGUGUAUUAAUGAUGUAAUUCAAGUAAUUCCACAGAGAUAAACAAUUUUCUGCAAUUGUAAGUGGAUAAGGGGAGUUAAGGAGGGGAUGGUAGAGCAGGAUCAGGGGCUAGGUCAGGUAAGCUAGAUAAGGUCUGGGAAGUGGGCAUAAAUAUGCUGGUAAACACACAUUAUAUGAGCAUACUUUUAUAAAACCUAUACAGAGAAAGUGUACUGCAUACAUUUUGGCACACAACAUCAUAGUAUAUUUUGGAUCUGACUGAGAAUCACAUCCAUGCUGCCAUAUAAAAUCUAUUGAACAUACUAGCUACAAAAAGCCAGACAACAUUUUGCAAAAGGUUUUUUUUAUUUUUUUUUAUUAGAUUUUAUUUCCAAACACAUUUGCAGUGCAUAUUCAAAUUAUCAUACAGUGAUAAAAACUGAUCUAUUUAGCCAGAACUGCAUAGCCUACUACAUUGCUGCUCUAUUUCCCAAUGAAAUAUCACAAACACUAUUAAAACAACGUGACAACAUGCAUAAGGUCAAGAGUCAGUCUGAAUAUUUUUAAUAAGCUCUACAUCUCCACAUUGUCAAUUGGAGCACAAACGUGGGUUUGUAGGUUGUGACUUCAGCACAAUGACAGGCCAUAAGAUAUACUGACAGAUGACAGUCAGGGCCUUUUAUUUUCAUUAUUGUUUAUAUUUGUUGUUUAUUUAUACUUAAAUUAUUAUUCAUUGAAUUAUCUCUUGAUAAGGGCCUCAGGCAAGCCUUUUGAAAAGUUUUUUUUUUCAGAAAGGGCACUGUAAACAUCAGUACUCAAACGAAGUGGCAGAUGCUCAACCCUUUGUAUAUGUGUAAUUGAACAACUGUGUAUUGGGUGUUGACAUAUGAACAUAUUAGGGACUAGUAGGCCUUUUUAACUGACCUAUGUUACAGAGUUAAAAUGCUUCUAAAACACAUUAAAAUAUAAUUUAAAAAAAUUAUCCCUCUGAAUGGUAAAGGUCUUUUAACACAGGAAAUGCUACUUACUCAUCUCCUAUUUACUUUCAAAUGGAGGCAGGUGACCAGGCAAAGUGACACGAGGAGAUAUGCAGGUAGGUUUGAUUAUGAGAAAUCAUCUUGCGUGUGCCCAUUUGACAACAUGGCCUCCCAUAUCUGCUAGAGAAAGUUCACAACAUUUGUUGUCACGCAAGAUUCACUAGUGGUGGAAAACAGUUCCAGCUUGGAACUGUCAGCAAACUUAGUUGAUACAAAAACAUUAAAAUGAGCAUUUGAGUAAUCUAUAGAAAAUACAACCCCAAUUCUAAAAAAGUUGUGGAAAAUGUAAAUAAAUGUAAAUAAAAACAGAAUGCAAUGAUUUUCAAAUCUCAUAAACCCAUAUGUUAUUCACAAUAGAACAUAGAAAACAUUUCAAAUGUUUAAACGGAGUAAAUGUACUAUUUUAAGAAAAAAAUAAGGUAAUUUUGAAUUUGAUGGCCGCAAAAGUACGUGUUACUAAAAAGAAACAACUGAAGGUUAAUUGGCAACAGGUCAGUAACAUGAUUGGGUACAAAAAGAGUAUUUUAGAGAGGCAGAAGUAAAGAUGGGCAGAGGUUCACCAAUCUGCAAAAACUGUUUCCAAAAACAAUUCCAGCCUUUUGUUGCCCCGUCCCAACUUUUUUGAGACGUGUUGUGGCCAUCAAAUUCAAAAUUACCUUAUUUUUUUCUUAAAAUGGUACAUUUACUCAGUUUAAACAUUUGAUAUGUUUUCUAUGUUCUAUUGUGAAUAACAACUGGGUUUAUGAGAUAUGAAAAUCAUUGCAUUCUGUUUAUAUUUACACUUAUUUACAUUAUUACAGUAACUACAUAUGAGCAAAUAAGGCAACGGUUCUUCACUUGUCCUUAAGAGUUCUUUUUUGCUAACUAUGGACAUGUUUUGUUGUCUUAUAUUUUGUUUUAUCUUGAAGUACAUGUCUGUACCUUUUUACUUUUAAAUUGUUAUCUGUUGUGACUUUUGAAAUUGUGACAUAUACUCAGUACUUAAUUUGGGCUGGACCAUGCCAGAACAGGACCCAGCACCUCUGCCUGUGUUCUGGAUCUCAUUUACAUGGAUUAGGCACAGCUGCAGCUUUUUAUUUAUUUAUUUUAAAUAAAAACAAAAUAAUGCACAAUCCUCCUUUAUGUGUCACCUCCCUUCCAAAAUCAUAAUUUCCAUGUAGACCAGCUGGUGGCUAGUAAUCACAGUGUACUCACAUCAGUCACAUGUGCUCAUGCAUCAUGACUAUGGUGAAAAAAGGCAACAGACUUUGCUGUCAUUUCUUAAAGAAGUAAGCAAAAGUAAUGGUGGCAGAAAAAGAUGUUAUAAAAGCAACGGAGGCAUCAUUUCUCUUUCUGAAACUUGUUGGUCCAUUGUUCACAAAAUUCAACCCUGUGCCUUAUGUGCUAUUUUUUUAAUUUUAUUUUUAUUUUUAAAGGACACUGUCACAGACUAGCAGAGCAAAUCAUGACAUUAGGAACACACUGUAAAUUACACGAUUGCAUUGCGGAGUAAAUUGGAUGAUUAGGCAAGUUUAGAAAAUGUUUUGUUUGUUGAGAUCAGUAUUCACGUGGGUAUAUUUGUUUUACAGUAUGUUAUUUAAAGGGCAUAUUGUACUUUUGUAAGACCCAGUGUUCUGAGAGAAAUGUGAAGCUUAAUACAUCAGAAAUUUUCAGGAGACUCCUCCAGUCCUUAAACCGUAUAACUGAAAUGUUAUAGUUGCAAUCCCCUUCUACAGUGUUCAUCAUAUCUACUCUAAAGGCACUAGGUCUAUGACAGCAUUCAGCACUACUCUAUUGCCUUUUCCUUGUCAACUUUCUGGAUUAAGCACCGAGCUUACCACAACAAACCAUUACAGAUUUCUGUUUGAAUGUAUUACGUAACCAUUAAUUAUAGUCCCCUCCAAAACUAUUGGAACAGCAAGGCCAAAUAAUCUGUUUGUGCUAUACACCAAAGACAUUUGGGUUUGGAAUAAAAAGACUCUCAUGAGAUGGGUGUUUAGGAUUUCAACUUUUAUUGUCUGCUAUUUCUUGACAUCUAGAUGUGUUAAAAACAUAAAACAUAGACUGUUAUGUAUCAGACCACCCAAAUUUUAGGUGAGCAAAAGCACUGGUACAAAUAAGUCGUCUGGGUUACACAUGUAACCCUGUUCCCUGAGAAGAGAACGAGACAUUGCGUUUAGCAUAACACAAUGGGAGCGCCUCGCGUGUGUGAGCAGCAUCUGAAGCUUGUGUAAAAUCAUGCCUAUUUAUAGGCCUGCCAUUGUCAGGUGACACGCGUCGCGUGAUAUAAAUGGCACCUGUGAACCACGCCAUCAGCCUCUAUUAUCUGAAGUGAAGACGCAAUUCACAGGCCUGCCCUAUUAUGACAAAGCUACGCAGCAUCUCAUUCCCUUCUCAGUGAACAGGGUUACAUGCGUAACCCAGACGUUCCCUUUCAAAGGGAACUUCGAUGUUGCGUUUAGCAUAACACUAUGGGAACGAGAAUCCCCACUCCGUCAUACCGGGGGUAUGGCAUGUUCAAAAAGACCCAAGCCCGAGGGUCACUGCAAGACAUUCAAGCCCGGGGUGGAAUGAAUAUCCAGGCUGUAAUACUGAAUGAAUGUGUGUGGCGUGGAUCACCCUGCAGCAGCACACACAUCCUGUAAGGAUACCUCUUUGGACAAAGCCUUCGCGGAGGCGACCGCCCUAGUGGAAUGAGCCCUUAUACCCAGAGGCAUAGCAAGACCGCGCGCCUCAUAAGCAAUAGAGAUUGCUUCCACUAUCCAAUUAGAGAUGCGCUGAUUUGACACAGCAUCACCUCUACUGUCACCAACCAAAGCAGACCAGCAGCUGCUCCGACUUACACCACUGGCCGGAGCAGUGGACGUAAGUACAGAGAGCCCUUACUGGACACAGCAGGUGCAUUCUCUCUUGUUCUGGUGUGGGGAAUGGAGGCAGGCAGAAAGCCUACAACACCACAGGGUGGGUAGUCAAUGUAGGCACUUUAGGAAUAUAAUCCGGCAUAGGAUACAGGAAGGCCUUGGCUAGUCCAGGGGCAAAGUCAAGGCAGGAAGGGGAAACCGAGAGAGCUUGUAGAUCUCCUACUCGCUUGAGAGAUGUCAGGGCCAGCAGAAGAGCUACUGUUAGAGUCAGAAGCUUCUCAGAGGCUGACUCUAAGGGCUCAAAUGGGGCCCCUGACAGACCUUCCAGGACCACAGAAUGUUCCAGGAAGGUAUGCGCGGCAGGCAGAUGGGCCUCACCCACACCACGCAUGAACCUCGAAGUUAGAGGAUGGUGCCCCACAGAGGGUCCAUAAACAGGGGCGUGGCUGGCCAAAAUGGCAGCCACGUAAACCCUGAUUGUUGAAGUAGCCCACCCCACUGAGAAACGUUCGUGUAAGAACUCCAGGACUGUAGCUAUUGUGCAGUUCACUGGGUCUAGCUGACGUUCCUCACACCACAAGACAAAAAGCCGCCACAUGAGCGCAUACAAUUUCCUUGUGGAUGGUGCUCUAGUGUUUAACAUGGUCUCUACAACCUCAGUUGUGAGACCAGAAUCUAUGAGCUGGUGCCCCUCAGGGGCCAGACCUACAGUUUCCAUAGUUGGACUGUAGCUAUUGCGCAGUUCACUGGGUCUACAGUGGAUAUCUGCAGAUGGGAAUCUCCCAAGGAGUGCCAUCUAGCAGGGAUAUUAUCUCUGAGAACCAUAUUCGAGCUGGCCAAGAAGGUGCUACUAGCACAUAUGAGACCACCGAUGUGUUGUCUGUAAACAUAUGGUGACCUUUCAAUUGAGGAAGAAGGAAUUUCAGUGCUAGAAAUAUUGCUCACAUUUCUAGGCAAAUUUAUUUACCGCUCUAGAUGAGGGCCGCUCCAGAGACCGUGAGGGAGGUGUCUGUCAUUACCGUCUUGCACUAAGGAGACACGCCUAGAUUGUGACCCAAGGCCAGAAACCAGGGGACACUUCAAAUUCUCAGAGCACGUAGGCAUCACCGUGUGACACUGAUUACUCUCAGAGGUUUCGUCCUUGGAAGAAACCCCCAACUUCUCAGCCACCACUGAAUGGUCUCCUGUGCAAUAGGCUCAUAAGCGCCAAUAGUCUCCCAAGAUCCAGCUUUAUCUUGCUCAGUUUUGAUAGGAUUGACCCUACGCAUGUUGGGGAUAGAAACAUCCUCAUCGUAGUAGAAUCCUUAUAACCCCUAGAAAAGUUGUCCACUGCACUGGGGAAAGCAUACUUUUCUGAGAUUCAACCUGAGCCCCAAGCCCAUCUUUUAUGAUGGUUUUCCAGGCUUUUACCACAGUCUCUUUAAGUUGUUUUUUUUCCAUAGGGUUUCUCCCAUCAGUCUCCACUUCAGCAGGUGAAAUGCAUGCGCAACUGAAGAUUCAAUUGGCCAGUCUAAAACAUUUGACUUUUUCUUACUGAUAAAGUCCUUUGUUGACUUGGCAGUGUGUUCUGGAUCAUUGCUGCGUGAUGAAUUUGGAUGCAUUUCUCUGUAAAUUGGCAGGCAAAAUGUUCUUGUAAACUUCUGAAUUCAUUCUGCUGCUACAGUACCAUCUUGAGUUACAUCAUCAAUAAAGAUUAGUGAGCCUGUUACAGAAGCAGCCAUGCAAGCACAAGUCAUAACACUACCUCCACCAUGUUUCACAGAUGAGCUUGUACAGUGCUGUGAAAAAGAACUUCUUCUGUUUUUGUAUAUAUCUCAUACUGAAUAGUUUUAGAUCUUCAAACAAAAUACAAACAUAAACAAAGGCAACCUUUUUAUUAUUUAUUUAUUUAUUAAAGCAAACAAACAAAAAAAAAUCACCCAUGUAAAAAACGAAUUGCCCCUUGUAAAUUAAAAUCUGGUUGCGCCACUGUUAGCAGCAAUAACUGCAACCAAACGCUUCCAAUAACCGGAGAUCAGUCUUUCACAGCACUCUGGUGGAAUUUGAGCCCGCUCUUCUUUGCAGAACUGCUUGAGUUCAGCCACACAGGAGGGUUUUGAAGCAUGAACCGCCUGGUUAAGGUCCUGCCACAGCAUCUCAAUUGGUUCAAGUCAGAACUUGACAAGGCCACACCAAAACUUGUAGUCAGUCAGAGGUGAAUUUACACCUAUGCUUUUAUUAAACCAAAAGUCCAGUCACUUUGAUUUACUACUAUUGGACAAUGUUCUUAACACCCAGUUUUUGAACCCGGACUUUUACUUGCAUUUGUAUGGAUUUCUUCAAUUGAAUCAGUGCAUCUGCACAAGCAAAGCUUUUCAGCUCUGCUCCCACUGAUGCCUAUGAGCUCCACAGUGUCCUCUAUCAGUAAUAACCACUGAUCCAUUGAUAUUUAUAAUGGCCUGACAUAAGGAGGAUACAGCCAAGGACACAAUCUACAGCUGCACUGUAACACAGCCCAGAGAAAACAGAGCAGAGCUGGAAUAAAGAGCAGACGGCCUGAGAUUAGUUUUUAUGACUAUGAACCCAAAAUUGAAAAUUUUUAAUCAUCCACAUAAUCCAACUCAUGUAAAUGUAAGAAUAGUUAUGGUUCAUAACUUGCACUUGUUUUUGGUCAGUUGAUAGAAACUUAGGCCCAUUUUCAGUGAUCCUAUUAUUUGAUAGCAUUUGACUAGAAGAAAUGGGUGUAAACACACAAAGUGCAUAUCUCUGGAGUCUGGCUGGUUCACACUGUGAAAUGAUUUCAAGCAGGUGUAAAACAACCAAUACAGUGUGCUGAUAUCAGGCUGGAGCUAGGAAGAAACGCCCCACUCACAAGAUACAGCAAGAUCAAAUUAUUUUUAAAAAUCAAUAAUAAAAUAAAAAUGUAGAAAAUGGAUGACACUUGAAACAAAAAAUCUUUAAUGAUCCAACAUUUUCUAUGCUGACAGCUGGCUGACAUCCUACACUCGAGCUAGUUCAUUUUUCUGGCAUAUUGUGGUGGGGAAAUGAGAUCUGAUCACAAUACCGACAGAGUGCAGAUAAUGAGAACGCAUAUAAAUACCAGGUGUAAAUGACUCAUUAUUCAAAUAGUAAUAUAAAGGUACAGCUUGCAUAUCAUUCAUUAUUCUAAUAUUUUGAGAUACUGGAUUUUGAUUUCCAUGAGCUAUAAGCAUCGAGAUUAAAACAAACAAACAAAAAAAGGCUUGAAGUAUUUCACCUUAUGUGUAAUAAAUCUAGAAUAUAUGAAAGUUCCACUUUUUGAAUUAAAUUACGGAAAAAAAGAACUUUUCCACGAUAUUCUAAUUUUUUGAGAUGCACCUUUAUAUGUCAAUAAGGGACUUAUUCUUGCAGUACUUGUAUCACUGCCUGCUCCGUUAUAAGUUCAAUGUAUUCUUCUUUCAGUUUUACCAAUUUUAAUUCAUACUUAGGUUUAGCAGACUGAACACAGCCAGGUUUGUUUGCAUUCAGCCCUGACUAAUCUAAACAACACGCAACAUAACUUCACUGUCAAAGCGAUGUAGUCAUCACAAAGUCACGCCAAGCAUACUAUUCCACAAUUAAAGCACAUUCUAGCAAAGAUGAAAAGAUAUGUUGUAAUUAACUGAAGAAAAAAAAGUUUUAAAGAAGCAAUGGCUAAUGUUCUGCAACUCCACCAAACCGCAGUGAGAGUCAUUAUGGAGAACACUUUGAACAGUGUUGAAUCUUCCAGGAGAGGCCAGUGUGCCAAAAUAUCUCCAAGGGCACAACAACUAUUCAUCCAGGAAGUUAAGAAGAAAAAAGAAAAAGAAAAAUCCCAGAGGAACAUAUAACUGCAAGUGUCUCAAGCUUCAACUAAGGUAGGUCUUUACAAGUCCCCGAAAAAAAAAGACUGGAUAAAUAGGGUUUAUCACGGAGAGUAUCACGGUGAAAACCAGGUUUGUCCCACAUUUUGACUUAAGCACCAUGAGUCAAAAGUCAACUUUCUGAAACACAAGAUUCCCAGUCUAAGGAACAAGCAGGGGACACUCUGGACGGGGUGCCAACCCAUCGCGAGGCACAAUCACACACACAUUCACACACUACGGACAAUCUGGAAAUGCCAGUCAGCCUACGAUGUAUGUCUUUGGACUGGGGGAGGAGACUGGAGUUCCACAACAUUAUAUGUAGCUAUAAACAGUUUAAAAGCAUGUUAUUUUAUUCAUAUAUACAUUAAGAAUUGUGAUCAUUGGCUGUGGUAUAAGAGAUGGUAGCUGUCCUAUAACUCCACUUUGCCUUGGGCUGAUGGAUUAUUUUCCCAUUGUCUUUUAUUCCUUACUUAAAGCAGUUAUUUCAUAACAUAUGAUGUGAUGUGAUACAACUAGAUGCAGUAAUGUACCAAGAGCUCUAUUUUAAUCAAAAACAUAGUUUUUGAUUAAUGAGAUGGAGCCACAGAGACCAUGGCUUUUUUUUCUAUUUACAAGGACUACAAGGCCCAGAGAAAAAUGGAAAGGAGAAAAACCUGUCCAAAUUUUACACAAUACACAGUCAAAAAGACAAACUUUACGCCCCUUAUAUACAUCAUUUUAUUCACGGCGUCAGUCAGCAGUGAGAUUACUUCAGCAGAUACAAAGUUAUUCUGAUCAUCUUUAUCCUGUGCUGAAACAUUCCUGUCCUGAUGGGAGUGGUAUCUUCCAGAAUGACUCAGCCGAAUCACCAGGGCACGAAGACUCUCUGAAUGGUUUGAUGAGAAUGAAAAUGGUGUACUCAUGUGCUGUUAGCGAUAUCAGUAAUCCGCGAUGGUCUUUGCUGUUCUGGCAGCUUGUGAUGUCCUUACUAAGACACUUUAUGUUGUUGUGUUUUUCUCCUUAAGAUUAUGUUUGUCACCUGUCUGAACAUCAGAAUUAUGUUAGAUGUCAUGCUUUCUAUCUGGUGUGUGAAAGUGGAGUUUGUGGUGGGGGAGUGUUCAUAAGGACACAGCCAGCUCAGUGAGAACAGAUGGCAAACAGGAGGCAUGCUCGAAUCCUGCCCAGCGUUUUGCUUUGGUAAACACAUGGAUGUAAACCACACACUUACAUACACGCGCACAUACACACACACACACACACACACACACACACACACACACAGCAAUCUGCCAUUGCUUGGACUGAUAGGUACAAAAGCAUGGAAAGAAAGAGAAAGAUAGAGGGAGAUAGAGAGCAAGAGAGAGAAAGAGAAAGAAAGAGAGAGAGAGAGAGAGAGAGAGAGAGAGAGAGAGAGAGAGAGAGAGAGAGAGAGAGAGCCAAACCUUGAUAACUCACAUGCUCUCUGCAGCUUGUGGAGGCGUUCAGCCCACAAAUGUCUUCAGUGAAAGUUGGGAAAGAUACCAAAUUAACACAGAGUUUGGUGGAUCUCUCCAUCCUGUGCGAUCCAAUCUUUACCUGGAGUCCUGCAGGGGGCGCUAGAGAGCACCUCAGACUAAACAGAACUCUUCCCAUCAGGAUCAGUAGUGGUUUCAAUCCACCUGUUAUACAAAUGUUUUAUUUAUACAUUUUACAGAUACAGAUGUUUUUCAGCAUCUAUUCAUGCAGUACAUUAUGUUUAUAAGAUAGUUUUAUUUUAUUCUGCGCAUUUAUCAGAUUUUGUGCUGCAGAUUAUGUUGCAUUUAUUUGCAGUGACUGUUCGUGACUAUUUGAGCCUAUGUACAUUUUCACGACAGGUGGCUCAGUAGUGAAGGCUCAGGGCUACUGAUCAGAUGGAGCCAGGCUGGUAACCUGCCUCUGACACCAGCUCACAAACAAGCUGUGAUAUGCAAAGAAAAUAGGUUCACUGACUUCUGUCUAUAACUUUGCUAUCUUCUGUCUACUUUUCCUCAAUGUGAGAGCCCGAAUACAGAUGUGAUAGAACAGACUAAAUAAGUGUGUUUUUCUAGUCUCUCUCUGUGUUAGACUGGUGCUUUGAUAAUGUCAGCUCAUUGCUUCCUUUCAGAAUACUCAACAGAACAGCCAUUCGUAUUUUUUAUUUUUUUUGGCUUUUGAUUUUUCAGAAAGCUGCUUAAAUUCUACAAAACAUUUUGACAGAAUCAUGUCUAGAGUGCUCCACACAUUUGGUUCUUACUGCAGCUGUGCUGUAGACACGCAGUCUGCCUUUCGUCUGUCAGCUGUAUUGUAAUUGCAUUACGUAAAUUAGAUGCUCUCUCUCUCUCUCUCUCUCUCUUCUGUCAGACGAAAGCAGAGCUAAGACAUUCCAAAGUGGAAAUGCCAUCUCCAGCUUAUCAGCACAGAUACAUUUGUCAAGUUUGUUAUAUUUAAUGAGAAGCGCUCUCUUCUACUGCCUCAUUUAUGGGUCUAUUGAUAUGCCAGUAUAAUGGCAUGCAUUGAUUAGAAAACUAGAAGUGAUUAAAUUUCUGAAAUCGUGCUAUACCCUAUUGGAUUCCAGGGAUAAGCAGUUCAGGAUGCUGUUGUUAAAACCAUUGCUAUCUUCACUCAUACUACCCCCCACCAACACACACACACAUCCAUUAAAGAUCUGUUCUAGGGAUGUAACCGAAUAUGAAUACAUUAUUUGGAUUGAACAGAUAAUUGUUCUAAACAGACACAAAUACAGAUAAGAAUAGGUUCACUGUGGAGGAGCUCAUUACCCAAGCUCGAGCAGUGGACUUUUCCUGGAAUUGAACUUCCUUACGCAAUGCAUGCCUAAAUGUCUGCAUAGCCAUGCACUGGAUGUAAAGGCACAUCUGCUGUCUGUUUCUUUCUCCAAUGGAAGGGAAGUUUAACUAUGUUUAUACUGUCUGGUGCCAUCAUUCUGAGAGGUCUCUGGGCUGGUUGACCCUCUGUGCUGCAAUGUGCCCAUGCUUGCUUUUUGUGCUUGCUUGUUUUCUUGUGCAAAUUUGAGUUUAUGCUCAAAUGGCUUGCUAGACACUUUAAUGCUGUAAAUGUAGAUGAUCAAUCCUGAAUCCCACUGCCUGCUGUGCUAUUGACAUCAACCAAGGACACGAUUCUUUUAAAGUCAUAAAGUAAGAAAAGCAUUCAAGGCAAAAACACAGAACUAGGCAAUACAGCAUACUGGACCAUUCACAUACCCGGUGGAUAAAUAAUGAAUUUCUGAUUUGUCCAACCACAAAAAUGUCUCCAGAUGCUUUUCAUACCUUGAAAUACGGCACAAAAAUGAGAGAAAACUGUAUUUCUACACUGUUCAGAUAAACUGCUGAAGGGUAAAUGUAAUCUUUUUACAUUUCCACUAUAAACGAUACUUAAGCAGUUUCCAUAAGCAAAUAAUCAAACUCUGGUGCAGUUGUUGGAGUGUUAUAUAGCUUUUAAUGUCUUUCGCUUUGAAAACAGCAAGUUGUAAGCAAAUGCUGUGAGCUACUGAAACUCCUAAUAAUAAAUUGUACAUUUACCCUACUUUAAAUUUAUCAUAUCAUUAAAAAACCUAACUUCAGUAAAUAACACAAACUCUUACAGCCUACAGCCAUAAAGGUGUUAAUUACAUUUCUAAACGACACUUUCCCAUGGUGUAGAGCAGAAAAUGCAUUAUUCAGCUAAUAAAAUACAUCUUAUUGUGUCAGUGUUAAUCCUGAGGUUCGGCCCCUUCUACUAAAAUGUUACUAAUUCAGUAAAAUUGUAUGCAGUCCCUGUUGAAUCUCGGAACUGUAUUUGUUGCCUUGUACUCACCGUAGGUCAAGAAGGCCCGGCUGCCUCACGGCUUAUUUAAUGUAGAAGCACAUGAAGCACAAUGGCGGGAGCAUUAAUAUGGAGUGUGCACUUGGUGCAUGGCAAUAACCUUUUGCACCAAGUGAAAAAAAAAAUCAAUUAGUGUGUGCAUUCUAUAAUGGCGUGGGAGAAAAAUCUGGAGGCAUCUGCCACAGCAAGUUCGGUCUGAAAAUAUGACCACGUCUGGAGCAAAGCCAGGGCAACAGAGAACAUAAUGUUACAAAAUGCAUGCAUGCACACACACACACACACACACACACACACACAAAUACAGAGAGAGAGAGAGAGAGAGCGAGCAAGAGAGAGAGAAGAGCACUUAACAUUCUUCACUGAGUCAUCUCACUAAUAUUCUGAUGACAAAGAACAGAUGUCAGUGAUACUGUACUGCACAUUUAUUAUUAAUAUUAGUUGGCUGUUAUGUUAGUGUUUAUAUGUCAUAUGUUUAUAGAUGAUAUAUUUAUGUAUGUUUCUUCUGUCACACUGUUGUUGAAAGAAAGAGAGGAGGAAAGGAAGAUAAAAACGAGAGCGCAAGAGGGACAAUAUAAUCAUUCAUUCAUUCAUCUUCAGAAGCUGCUUUAACCUGGUUCUGGAGAAGUAUCCCAUGAAUAAUACAUACAAAACAGGAAUACAACCUGAAUCUCACA
ensembl:lncRNA